GGCAAGUGAAUGGAAGAUGGCAGAGUGUGCGUGCGUGUGUGGGAUGGUGGAGGUGGGGGGUGAUAAACAACAGGUUGCCCCGGAGUGGACGUGACGUGUCCUGAAUGACUUGUGAAAAUAACAUCAGUGUCGAGUGGACGUCGACACGGCGCAAUGAGGCUUUUUACUCGGCCCGGUAUGGAGACGUCAGACAGCACAAGGUAGUCCAUGGGGCUGUAAACAUCCCCGACUGGAAGCUGUCUUCCCUGCAAAGCUUUCAGUCUGAUGUUUGCCGUCGCCGGCUACUUCCAGCCUCCUCCGCCGCCGCCAUGGACCAAGACAACUUUUCUUCUCAAAUCUGGGCUCAAUUCAUGUAAACAUCCUACACUCAGCUGAAAUCCACUGCAGAAACGGCUGAGAGAAGGGUGUUUACGUGCGCUGGCUUGGAACUAAGACCACAAGAAUCACCAAGAGCAAGUCAAUCCUCAUGUCACAUCACAAGUUGUGAAUGGAAUCUUUGUCACCUUUGUGUUUCUUUCAUGGGGCAUUAAAUGAUGGUUAACUGAU